rnacentral:misc_RNA from 1 species
AACGCACCUUGCGCUCCUUGGUAUUCCGAGGAGCAUGCCUGUUUGAGUGUCAUGAAAUUCUCAACCUUUCAAGCUUUUUUUUAAAGAAAAAAAAAAAGCUAGUCAGGCUUGGAUUGUGGAAGCUUUGCUGGCUUUGACAGUCGGCUCUUCUAAAAUACAUUAGCAAGAUUUAAUCGCUGAAUCAUCUUUGAUAUGAUAAUUAUCUAUAUUAAUGAUGACACAGUGUUUUCCAUCCAAGGGAAAAUCUUGCUUAUAACUGUCUUUUGAAGACAAUUAUUAAACUAUUUGACCUCAAAUCAGGUAGGACUACCCGCUGAACUUAA